UCUUUUAAUUGAAGGCUCGUAUGAAUGGUCGGACAAAAAGUAAGCUGUCUUCAAUUAUAAAAAUUGAAUUUGACUUUUAAGUGAAAAGGCUUAAAUAUAACAAAGUGACGAUAAGACCCUAUAAAGCUUUAUAGUGUAGUUUUUUAUUAUAAAUUAUUAAAUUGUAUAACUUAAUUUAAAAUAAAGCUUUUUCGUUGGGGCGACGAAAAUAUAAUUAAAAUAACUGUUUUUGUUUUUAUAACAAAUAUAUUUGGUUUAAAUAAAUGAUCCUUUAUUAGAGAUUAAAAGAUUAAGUUACUUUAGGGAUAACAGCGUAAUCUUCUUUGAGAGUUCAUAUCGACAAGAAGGGUUGCGACCUCGAUG
rnacentral:rRNA from 1 species